UUAAUCCAUCUCUUGAAUACAAUGAUCUUGACUGGAUGGUCCUGGGGUAUCUAUUAUGCUCAAGCUCUAGUAACUAGAUCCACACCUGUAUGAGAAAAAUAAGACCAAAUAAAGUUAAAGACUUAGAAUACUAUGUGAGACAAUAACACUCUCUAUUGGACACAUGCGAGAUAUGAUUGUGCAAAAUAGCCUAUGUGACCAAAAGGUGGCUCGAAGUGCAAACCCAACAAUGGUAACCUCUAAGUCAUGGAAAAAUUAUUUGCAGAAAUGACCAAUUUUGUUGAAAUGGCCUAUGUGGCCAGAAAAUGACCAAGUAUUACAAAUUCAAAAGAAUGGACCUUAAAUAGAGAGGACGCCUUGUUACUGACUUAAGACUCUAAGACAUGGGUUAAUUGAACCGCUUUUGCAAAAAUAACCAUAUUUUGCAAAACGACCUAUGAGGCCAAAAGAAGCAAGAUUCGACAAGGACAAACCUUAAAGUAAAGAGGCACCUAAUUGGGAUUGAAGACUCUCCGGACACAAUUAAACAAACCACUUUGUGAAAAUAGUCCUAUUUUGCAAAGCGACCGAUGUGGCCAAAAGUGGCUAAACAUACAAGAUUACGCCUACGACCCUUGAAGCCAAGAAUUUAAGACUCACUAAGAAUACCAGACUCUAUGUGGACUGUCUACAUAUUCCGCCACAAAAUACGAGAAUCAGAUAUGCGUAGUACGGGCAUAUUAGGAAUAAAGUAAUAAACUAACACUUUUUUUUAUUUUGGACUUUUUUCAAAAGAAAGACAUAUAAAGAAGAAAGAAAUAUUUUUUGAUUUCGCAUUUUGUUUUAUUUUUUAUUUUUUUGAAUUUCAAAAGAAAAACUACUAAAGAGGAAAAGAAAUAUUUUUGUUUUUUGGACUUUAUUUUGAAUUUAUGAGAGAAAGACUUCUAAAGAAAAAAGUAAUUAUUUUUUAAUAUUUAAUUUUAUUUCAAUUGGUGAAUGAAAAUAUUUGAAUUUUGAGGAGCAAUUAAAAGAAAAUAUUUUUGGAUUUUUUUGCGAAACUUGUGGGUCGAAACCGAUGAGGUUUGCCUACUUAUUUCACAUUCGGUGAGAAUCAGACCCACGUAGUUCGUUUAGUUUUGACAUAAUUAGAAAAAUAUGAUACUAGCUAAAAAAAUUUGAAUACACUUCCUUUCUAUUUUUUUAAAUAAUUUUGGCAGAGUUUCGAGGCAUUUUCAAAUACUAGGGUUUUCAGAACCGGGUGAAUUUUCUAUCCUACCUCACUCUUGGGUUUUUUAUUGAUUUUCUUUCCUUAGCCACUUAACAAACAAAUCAAAAAAAUAAAUGCACAGAUAGCAGGUAAGAUGCAUAAAGAAGGUCUUUUAUUUCAGGUACACCUGUCAUAGACGGAACCAACCUUUGUGUUGAGUCUCCUAAAUCAAAUGCCUGUGAUGCAAACAAAUGUCUCUACUAGGUAUCCGGUAUGAGGCUAUAUUAUUCUAGGUUUAAACCUGGGGUUGUGUUCUAGACUUGGCUUACCAAGCGGAUAACUUGAGCCGAGGUGGGAGCGACGUACUAGGAGAACAAAAGUCUAACUGCCUAGUGGCUGAUCAUCCUCGUGCUAUUUGGUACAACCUCUAACAGAAAAGCGAGCCACGCGAACGUGUGCACCAUUUUUUAGAAGAGUCAGAAGAGAGGCGUAAGAAGAUAGUUUAAUACAGUUCAAAUAAUAUUAAAGUGGUAAAUAAGAGGCAAUUAGCACAUUAGGCCCACAAAAUACGGUAAUAUCAACAAUUAAUAAAGCCAGGUAAAAAUCACAUUAAAAUCUUAAACUCUUGAACCCUGAACCAGAGAUUCUGGGCUCUUUAAUUUCCCAGCAGAGUCCUUAGAACUGUCACACCUCAUUAUUACCUGAAAGGGGAUACAUAGUUUUUCUAAUUAAAGUGACAAUAAUCGAAAUGGGAUUAUUUUAUUAGAUCAGAGUUGCCACUUGGAAUAAUUUAUGGUUUCCCAAGUCACUAGUUUAUUUUAAAUCCCAAAUCGAUGAAAUUGAUUCUAUUUAUGGUCCGCAAACACAGAUGAUCGGGUAAAAAAAUUUGUUAACCCGGGAGAAGGUGUGAGGCACACCCAAAUUCUUUGGUUUUAGCGUGGUCGCUUUAAUCAUAGCUGGAUUAAUUAAAUUAUUUAAUUACGUACUUUAGAACCUAUGUGCAUUUACCGUUACUACCCUUAAUUAUUCGAUUAUUCGUGAUUAUGGAAUUAUCCUGAAACGAGUCGCACGUACGUGUACUCGUUUUGUUUGGUGCGUCAAAAAUUAUGUCACAUGUGCGUGUACACAAUUAAUGAAACUUAUUACUGUUAUGAUUGUUUGGUCAAAGUCACGCGAACGUGUACCUUGGUUUAUUUUGAAAAUCGUAAUUAUGUCACGCGAACGUAUACACAAUCACGAUGAUAGAUUAAGUCACGCCUAGCAUUUUCUACGAAUAUUUGUUUUUAAAUCAUACUUGUGUCACGCGAAGGUGUACACAGUUAAUAAAGUUUUGUUAUUAUUAAGAUUUUUUUACCCAAUAUUGCACGAACACAUACUUUGGUCUUAAUUUGGGACCUGAUAUUAUGUCACGCGAACGUCAAAAUUCCUAAAGAUUGCCUACCUGGGUUUGACAGCCCUCACGUGCUCCUGAUGUAAAUGAAACUUGUAACAACGAAGCAGGAAUAAAAUAUAUCAUAUUAAGCCCAAACCUCUUUGACUAUGUUCUAGGCAUCCACUGUCCCUUUGUCUUAUUUACUUAACAAGUAAUUACUAAUAGGUAAAAUCACCAGCCAAAUAGAGCAACUAAAUCAAGAAUAUUUGUUUGGGAAAAAUGGUUUCAAUAAUGAAGAUUAAAAAUCAAGCCGAGCAAUCACAAAUUAAUCAACAAAAUAGUAUCACCAAGAAAUCACAUACAUAAAACUACGGGAUAUUAGAUAGAUAGAAAAAGGAUAAGAAUGGACCUCCAAUGAGCAAAUUAUUGACCUUAAAUAUUACUACACCAAAGGCUUAACAUUGAGUGCUCUCAAACAGAUCCAAAAACAAGUGAAGACCCCUUAAAUAUUACUACACAAAAGGCUUAACAUUGAGUGCUCUCAAACAGAUCCGAAAACGAGCGAAGACCGACGAGCGGAACCUCAGCUAGAAUAGACAGACUCGAAUGAAAGAUGACGAACUAACCGGUUUUCGGUGAAGCUCGCUGGUGACAUAGGUGAGACAGAAAAAUGAGAGAGCGAGAGGGAUUCGGAGGGGUGAGGUUAUGUCCUAUUUUUGUCACUCCCAUUUUUUCUCUGCAGGUUGCGCCUGGGAAGAGUUAGCUUCUAGGUUGGAGCAGCAGUGGCUAUGGCCGGAUUUUGGCGAGGAAAAAUGAAAUGGGGAGAUGAA
rnacentral:lncRNA from 1 species